UACGGGGGGGGCGAGCGUUGUUCGGAAUCACUGGGCGUAAAGGGCGCGUAGGCGGCCCGCACAAGUCUGCGGUGAAAACCCCCGGCUUAACCGGGGGCCGGCCGUGGAAACUGUCGGGCUAGAGGCCGGGAGAGGGCAGCGGAAUUCCCGGUGUAGCGGUGAAAUGCGUAGAGAUCGGGAGGAACACCGGCGGCGAAGGCGGCUGCCUGGACCGGCCCUGACGCUGAGGUGCGAAAGCGUGGGGAGCAAACAGG
rnacentral:rRNA from 1 species